rnacentral:rRNA from 1 species
GACGAACGCUGGCGGCGUGCUUAACACAUGCAAGUCGAACGGAAAGGCCCUGCUUUUGUGGGGUGCUCGAGUGGCGAACGGGUGAGUAACACGUGAGUAACCUGCCCUUGACUUUGGGAUAACUUCAGGAAACUGGGGCUAAUACCGGAUAGGAGCUCCUGCUGCAUGGUGGGGGUUGGAAAGUUUCGGCGGUUGGGGAUGGACUCGCGGCUUAUCAGCUUGUUGGUGGGGUAGUGGCUUACCAAGGCUUUGACGGGUAGCCGGCCUGAGAGGGUGACCGGCCACAUGGGGACUGGGAUACGGCCCAGACUCCUCCGGGAGGAAGCAGUGGGGAAUAUUGCACAAUGGGCGGAAGCCUGAUGCAGCACCGCCGCGUGCGGGAUGACGGCCUUCGGGUUGUAAACCGCUUUCGCCUGUGACGAAGCGUGAGUGACGGUAAUGGGUAAAGAAGCACCGGCUAACUACGUG